rnacentral:lncRNA from 1 species
UCAUGAUUAGCUCCCACGAUGUAACCUACUAGUUGAAUCAUAAUUGCAGCAAGACUCUUCUAAUCUAUUAACAUUACGACUCUGCCCAAUAUCUUAAAAAAAUUAAAAUAAGAUCUAUUCAGCAAUAAAAUUAAUAAUAAAAACAACUAGGAUGUUAGUUUUCUAAUUUAUCUUAAAUGAAAGCCAUUAUUUGUUUCAAACGAAAAUGAAUGAUCUUACCCGUGUUGCGUUAGAGUUGAUAUAUUUAUGUGGAUGGAGUUAAUUCUUGAUUUGGAAAAAGAAAAAAAAGAUAUUCUCCAAGUGUUAGUGAGGUUCGAGAUUCAUAUAGUAUACAUAGAUCGUAAGCAUUGGACUUGACUUACAACAUCAUGUACAAAAGUGAUGAUUCUUG